CCUACGGGAGGCAGCAGUGGGGAAUCUUGGACAAUGGGCGCAAGCCUGAUCCAGCCAUGCCGCGUGAGUGAUGAAGGCCCUAGGGUUGUAAAACUCUUUCGUGGGGGACGAUAAUGACGGUACCCCAAGAAGAAGCUCCGGCUAACUUCGUGCCAGCAGCCGCGGUAAUACGAAGGGGGCUAGCGUUGUUCGGAUUUACUGGGCGUAAAGCGCGUGUAGGCGGACUGGAAAGUUGGGGGUGAAAUCCCGAGGCUCAACCUGGGAAAUGCCUGCAAAACUUCCAGUCUGGACUCAAGCAGAGGCAAGUGGAAUUGCGAGUGUAGAGGUGAAAUUCGUAGAUAUUCGCAGGAACACCGGUGGCGAAGGCGGCUUUCCGGACUAGUACUGACGCUGAGGCGCGAAAGCUAGGGGAGCGAACGGGAUUAGAUACCCCUGUAGUC
rnacentral:rRNA from 1 species